CCCAAGCUGGCCUUUGGUCUAUAUUCCUGUAUGGCUGAUAUCUCAAUUUCUGUGAGCCAGCAGUAAGGCCCACGGGCUCAUGGGAGGGCCAAGCCCUGUUCUUUUCUGAUGAGAAAAGGCCUAGCACUCAUGCACUAACCUCUCCACAUUUUAGAAACUGAUGGCAUUCAGGUCAAUGUUUGGAGCCACCGGCUGCGAGAGAGGAAGUAUCGAGUGAUAUAUUCAGAGAUUAGUGAUCCUGAAGAGGAAGAAGAUGAUGAUUACUGAACUGACAGUGGAAAUAAGUCCAAGUUGGAAGAAGGAUGGAGUGGCGAUUCAACAUCACAUCUCCAGUUUGAAAGACUAAAUAUCAG
rnacentral:lncRNA from 1 species